CAGUCGCCACGGUAAUACAGAGGGUGCGAGCGUUAAUCGGAAUUACUGGGCGUAAAGGGCGCGUAGGCGGUUAGGAAGGUGUGAUGUGAAAGCCCUGGGCUUAACCUAGGAAGUGCAUCGCAAACCAACUAGCUGGAGUAUAAGAGAGGGUGGCGGAAUUUCCGGUGUAGCGGUGAAAUGCGUAGAGAUCGGAAGGAACGUCAAUGGCGAAGGCAGCCACCUGGCUUAAUACUGACGCUGAGGCGCGAAAGCGUGGGGAGCGAACAGGAUUAGAUACCCCGGUAGUCCCUGUCUCUUAUAC
rnacentral:rRNA from 1 species